CCUACGGGAGGCAGCAGUGAGGAAUAUUGGUCAAUGGACGAGAGUCUGAACCAGCCAAGUAGCGUGAAGGAUGACUGCCCUAUGGGUUGUAAACUUCUUUUAUAAGGGAAUAAAAUGUGCCACGUGUGGGAUUUUGUAUGUAACAUAUGAAUAAGGAUCGGCUAACUCCGUGCCAGCAGCCGCGGUAAUACGGAGGAUCCGAGCGUUAUCCGGAUUUAUUGGGGUUAAAGGGAGCGUCGGUGGUAUGUUAAGUGAGUUGUGAAAGUUUGCGGCUCAACCGUAAGCUUGCAGUUGAAACUGGCAGUCUUGAGUACACUAGAUGUGGGCGGAAUUCGUGGUGUAGCGG
rnacentral:rRNA from 1 species